rnacentral:rRNA from 1 species
UACAGAGGGUGCGAGCGUUAAUCGGAAUUACUGGGCGUAAAGCGCGUGCAGGCGGUCGAUUAAGUCCGGUGUGAAAGCCCGGGGCUCACCCCCGGAAGUGCGCUGGAAACUAAUCAACUAGAGUACGGGAGAGGGAAGUGGAAUUCCUGGUGUAGCGGUGAAAUGCGUAGAUAUCAGGAGGAACACCGGCGGCGAAGGCGGCUUCCUGGACCGAUACUGACGCUGAGACGCGAAAGCGUGGGGAGCAAACAGG